rnacentral:lncRNA from 1 species
CCUGUAUUUUCCAAAGGAAGACACACUGUAAGAUAUUUGGCUUCAGGAGAAAUGAAAAGAAGGCUGUACACUGCAUUGGCUGCGUGGCUGAGGAAGAAGAAAUCCUAGAGGAAGGACUAGAGGUGAAGGAGUAUGAGUUACAAAGAACUUCUCAGAUGAUGGAAACGUUGGUCUGGGUCCCUGGAGCAUAUUGAUCUUGCUGUCAAAACCCUGAGCAUUGGCAUCUAUAGGCUGCAUUUCUGUGUGGUUGUGGAUAUAUCAGGUUUCAUCAUCAGAGACAAGUAGUAUAGGACAGGCAGUGUUGGAAGCAAACACAUAAUCAGCGCAGAGGAGGCCAUAUGCUAGUUCCAGAAAAAGAAUGAUGGGAUUAUUCUUCCUAGCAAAUAA